rnacentral:rRNA from 1 species
GAUGAACGCUGGCGGCGUGCCUAAUACAUGCAAGUCGAGCGAACAGACGAGGAGCUUGCUCCUCUGACGUUAGCGGCGGACGGGGGAGUAACACGUGGAUAACCUACCUAUAAGACUGGGAUAACUUCGGGAAACCGGAGCUAAUACCGGAUAACAUGUUGAACCGCAUGGUUCAACAGUGAAAGACGGUCUUGCUGUCACUUAUAGAUGGAUCCGCGCCGCAUUAGCUAGUUGGUAAGGUAACGGCUUACCAAGGCAACGAUGCGUAGCCGACCUGAGAGGGUGAUCGGCCACACUGGAACUGAGACACGGUCCAGACUCCUACGGGAGGCAGCAGUAGGGAAUCUUCCGCAAUGGCGAAAGCCUGACGGAGCAACGCCGCGUGAGUGAAGAAGGUCUUCGGAUCGUAAAACUCUGUUAUUAGGGAAGAACAAAUGUGUAAGUAACUAUGCACGUCUUGACGGUACCUAAUCAGAAAGCCACGGCUAACUACGUG